AGUGAACGCUGGCGGUAGGCCUAACACAUGCAAGUCGAACGGCAGCACAGUAAGAGCUUGCUCUUACGGGUGGCGAGUGGCGGACGGGUGAGGAAUACAUCGGAAUCUACUUUUUCGUGGGGGAUAACGUAGGGAAACUUACGCUAAUACCGCAUACUACCUACGGGUGAAAGCAGGGGAUCUUCGGACCUUGCGUGAUUGAAUGAGCCGAUGUCGGAUUAGCUAGUUGGCGGGGUAAAGGCCCACCAAGGCGACGAUCCGUAGCUGGUCUGAGAGGAUGAUCAGCCACACUGGAACUGAGACACGGUCCAGACUCCUACGGGAGGCAGCAGUGGGGAAUAUUGGACAAUGGGCGCAAGCCUGAUCCAGCCAUACCGCGUGAGUGAAGAAGGCCUUCGGGUUGUAAAGCCCUUUUGUUAGGAAAGAAAAGCAGCAGGUUAAUACCCCGCUGUUCUGACGGUACCCAAAGAAUAAGCACCGGCUAACUUCGUG
rnacentral:rRNA from 1 species